rnacentral:rRNA from 1 species
CCGGCACGGUGGAGUAACACGUAUCCAACCUGCCGUCUACUCUUGGACAGCCUUCUGAAAGGAAAGAUUAAUACAAGAUGGCAUCAUGAGUUCACAUGUUCACAUGAUUAAAGGUAUUCCGGUAGACGAUGGGGAUGCGUUCCAUUAGAUAGUAGGCGGGGUAACGGCCCACCUAGUCUUCGAUGGAUAGGGGUUCUGAGAGGAAGGUCCCCCACAUUGGAACUGAGACACGGUCCAA